rnacentral:rRNA from 1 species
GAUCAUGGCUCAGGAUGAACGCUAGCGACAGGCUAACACAUGCAAGUCGAGGGGCAGCAUAAAAGUAGCAAUACUUGGUGGCGACCGGCGCACGGGUGAGUAACGCGUAUGCAACCUACCUAUCAGAGGGGAAUAACCCGGCGAAAGUCGGACUAAUACCGCAUAAAACAGGGGCACCGCAUGGUGAUAUUUGUUAAAGAAAUUCGCUGAUAGAUGGGCAUGCGUUCCAUUAGGUAGUUGGUGAGGUAACGGCUCACCAAGCCGACGAUGGAUAGGGGAACUGAGAGGUUGGUCCCCCACACUGGUACUGAGACACGGACCAGACUCCUACGGGAGGCAGCAGUGAGGAAUAUUGGUCAAUGGGCGAGAGCCUGAACCAGCCAAGUCGCGUGAAGGAAGAAGGAUCUAUGGUUCGUAAACUUCUUUUGCAGGGGAAUAAAGUGCAGGACGUGUCCUGUUUUGUAUGUACCCUGAGAAUAAGGAUCGGCUAACUCCGUGCCAGCAGCCGC